CGAGUCCCUAGACACGCCAGACACUGAACUCUGCUGACUUCUUGAAGAGCAUGCCUGGGACACCCUUGACACUACCAGAAACAGCUGCGGGAGAGUGGGAUGAGGACCGAGAUCUUACCGCCAAACAGGUGAGACAGGGCUUUCUUUGAGCCAAGUGUUGCCUGGGCUCCGAUUGCCAGCUUCCCAGGCCUCCCCAGGGAGCCUGCCCACCGCUGCCUGCCUGGCCUCAUUCUGAAGAAAUGCCCCACGGAUGGCUGAGGGAUUCGUCACCAUCGCCCCCACCAUUUCAAUGGAAUGUUGUUCAGACCUUCAGAAACUGUGCUGUGACAGACGUCCACUGACAAGACUUGGAAAAUUCUAAAAAAUACAGAAAAACAAAAGAGAAGACCCCCAUAAUGCAACCAUCAGGAGGUGCCUGGAGUGGCUUGGACAUGUAGGUUUCCAGGACUGUGACUGCAUCCUGCUCAGCCCUGACAGCACGCACUCCAGACAGAUGGGCUGCUCCCCGCAGACCCCCAGUUUUUCAACCCUGAGACGUGGCCACCACUCGCCCAGCUCGGGUUGUCAUAGGGGCUGAUGGGCAGGAACAUGGUCACCAGUGGGCACCUGGAAGGCUCUGGCCCAAGGCAGCCUGCCCAGCACGCGGCUCGUCUCAACUUCGGUGUGGCAGGGAUCUGGAAGGCUCAGGAUUUGCAG